rnacentral:rRNA from 1 species
CGUACCUACGGGGGGCAGCAGUGAGGAAUAUUGGUCAAUGGGCGCGAGCCUGAACCAGCCAAGUAGCGUGAAGGAUGACUGCCCUACGGGUUGUAAACUUCUUUUAUAAAGGAAUAAAGUGAGGCACGUGUGCCUUUUUGUAUGUACUUUAUGAAUAAGGAUCGGCUAACUCCGUGCCAGCAGCCGCGGUAAUACGGAGGAUCCGAGCGUUAUCCGGAUUUAUUGGGUUUAAAGGGUGCGUAGGCGGGAGAUCAAGUCAGCGGUAAAAAUGCGGGGCCCAACCCCGUCGAGCCGUUGAAACUGGG